rnacentral:rRNA from 1 species
GAUGAACGCUAGCGGCAGGCCUAAUACAUGCAAGUCGAACGGGAUCCAGAUCAAAGCUUGCUUUGGUCUGGUGAGGGUGGCGCACGGGUGCGUAACGCGUGAGCAACCUACCCUUGUCAGGGGGAUAGCCCGGCGAAAGUCGGAUUAAUACCGCAUGACAUCAUUGAGAGGCAUCUUUCGAUGAUCAAAGAUUUAUCGGACAAGGAUGGGCUCGCGUGACAUUAGCUAGUUGGUAAGGUAACGGCUUACCAAGGCUGCGAUGUCUAGGGGCUCUGAGAGGAGAAUCCCCCACACUGGUACUGAGACACGGACCAGACUCCUACGGGAGGCAGCAGUAAGGAAUAUUGGUCAAUGGACGGAAGUCUGAACCAGCCAUGCCGCGUGCAGGAAGACGGCCCUAUGGGUUGUAAACUGCUUUUAUACGGGAACAAACGUCGGUACGUGUACCGGUCUGAGUGUACCGUAAGAAUAAGGAUCGGCUAACUCCGUG